AUUGAACGCUGGCGGCAUGCUUUACACAUGCAAGUCGAACGGUAGACCCUUUCGGGGGUUGAGAGUGGCGAACGGGUGAGUAAUGCAUCGGAACAUACCCAGUCGUGGGGGAUAACGUAGCGAAAGUUACGCUAAUACCGCAUACGUCCUGAGGGAGAAAGCGGGGGAUCUUCGGACCUCGCGCGAUUGGAGUGGCCGAUGUCAGAUUAGCUAGUUGGUGGGGUAAAGGCCUACCAAGGCGACGAUCUGUAGCGGGUCUGAGAGGAUGAUCCGCCACACUGGGACUGAGACACGGCCCAGACUCCUACGGGAGGCAGCAGUGGGGAAUUUUGGACAAUGGGCGCAAGCCUGAUCCAGCCAUGCCGCGUGCGGGAAGAAGGCCUCGG
rnacentral:rRNA from 1 species